rnacentral:rRNA from 1 species
AUUGAACGCUGGCGGAAUGCUUUACACAUGCAAGUCGAGCGGCAGCGCGGGGCAACCUGGCGGCGAGCGGCGAACGGGUGAGUAAUACAUCGGAACGUGCCCAGACGUGGGGGAUAACUACUCGAAAGAGUGGCUAAUACCGCAUACGAUCUACGGAUGAAAGCGGGGGAUCGCAAGACCUCGCGCGUCUGGAGCGGCUGAUGGCAGAUUAGGUAGUUGGUGAGAUAAAAGCCUACCAAGCCAACGAUCUGUAGCUGGUCUGAGAGGGUGAUCAGCCACACUGGGACUGAGACACGGCCCAGACUCCUACGGGAGGCAGCAGUGGGGAAUUUUGGACAAUGGGCGAAAGCCUGAUCCAGCCAUUCCGCGUGCAGGAUGAGGGCCCUCGGGUUGUAAACUGCUUUUGUACAGAACGAAAAGCUCUGGCUAAUACCUGGAGUCCAUGACGGUACUGUAAGAAUAAGCACCGGCUAACUACGU